AGUGGCGCACGGGUGAGUAACACGUGGGUAAUCUGCCCUUGAGUUUGGGAUAACCCCGCGAAAGCGGGGCUAAUACCGGAUAAGACCACCCAAAGAAAAGAUGCACUUGAGGAUGAGCCCGCGGCCCAUUAGCUAGUUGGCAGGGUAACGGCCUACCAAGGCUAUGAUGGGUAGCGGGUCUGAGAGGACGAACAGCCACACUGGAACUGAGACACGGUCCAGACUCCUACGGGAGGCAGCAGUGGGGAAUAUUGCGCAAUGGGCGAAAGCCUGACGCAGCAACGCCGCGUGGGGGAUGAAGGUUUUCGGAUUGUAAACCCCUUUCGAUCGGAACGAACGACGGUACCGAGAGAAGAAGCCACGGCUAACUCUGUGCCAGCAGCCGCGGUAAGACAGAGGUGGCGAGCGUUGUUCGGAUUUAUUGGGCGUAAAGCGAACGCAGGUGGUUUGGUAAGUCAGGGGUGAAAGUCCACAGCUUAACUGUGGCACUGGCUUUGAUAC
rnacentral:rRNA from 1 species